rnacentral:rRNA from 1 species
UUGUCUCUCUUGAGUGGAUCCUGAGUACGACGGAGCACGUGAAAUUCCGUCGGAAUCUGGGAGGACCAUCUCCUAAGGCUAAAUACUCUCUAGUGACCGAUAGUGAACCAGUACCGUGAGGGAAAGGUGAAAAGCACCCCGGAAGGGGAGUGAAAUAGAACCUGAAACCGUGUGCUUACAAGUAGUCAGAGCCCGUUAAUGGGUGAUGGCGUGCCUUUUGUAGAAUGAACCGGCGAGUUACGAUUUGAUGCAAGGUUAAGCAGUAAAUGUGGAGCCGUAGCGAAAGCGAGUCUGAAUAGGGCGUUUAGUAUUUGGUCGUAGACCCGAAACCAGGUGAUCUACCCUUGGUCAGGUUGAAGUUCAGGUAACACUGAAUGGAGGACCGAACCGACUUACGUUGAAAAGUGAGCGGAUGAACUGAGGGUAGCGGAGAAAUUCCAAUCGAACCUGGAGAUAGCUGGUUCUCUCCGAAAUAGCUUUAGGGCUAGCCUCAAGUGAUGAUUAUUGGAGGUAGAGCACUGUUUGGACGAGGGGCCCCUCUCGGGUUACCGAAUUCAGACAAACUCCGAAUGCCAAUUAAUUUAACUUGGGAGUCAGAACAUGGGUGAUAAGGUCCGUGUUCGAAAGGGAAACAGCCCAGACCACCAGCUAAGGUCCCAAAAUAUAUGUUAAGUGGAAAAGGAUGUGGCGUUGCCCAGACAACUAGGAUGUUGGCUUAGAAGCAGCCAUCAUUUAAAGAGUGCGUAAUAGCUCACUAGUCGAGUGACACUGCGCCGAAAAUGUACCGGGGCUAAACAUAUUACCGAAGCUGUGGAUUGUCCUUUGGACAAUGGUAGGAGAGCGUUCUAAGGGCGUUGAAGCAUGAUCGUAAGGACAUGUGGAGCGCUUAGAAGUGAGAAUGCCGGUGUGAGUAGCGAAAGACGGGUGAGAAUCCCGUCCACCGAUUGACUAAGGUUUCCAGAGGAAGGCUCGUCCGCUCUGGGUUAGUCGGGUCCUAAGCUGAGGCCGACAGGCGUAGGCGAUGGAUAACAGGUUGAUAUUCCUGUACCACCUAUAAUCGUUUUAAUCGAUGGGGGGACGCAGUAGGAUAGGCGAAGCGUGCGAUUGGAUUGCACGUCUAAGCAGUAAGGCUGAGUAUUAGGCAAAUCCGGUACUCGUUAAGGCUGAGCUGUGAUGGGGAGAAGACAUUGUGUCUUCGAGUCGUUGAUUUCACACUGCCGAGAAAAGCCUCUAGAUAGAAAAUAGGUGCCCGUACCGCAAACCGACACAGGUAGUCAAGAUGAGAAUUCUAAGGUGAGCGAGCGAACUCUCGUUAAGGAACUCGGCAAAAUGACCCCGUAACUUCGGGAGAAGGGGUGCUCUUUAGGGUUAACGCCCAGAAGAGCCGCAGUGAAUAGGCCCAAGCGACUGUUUAUCAAAAACACAGGUCUCUGCUAAACCGUAAGGUGAUGUAUAGGGGCUGACGCCUGCCCGGUGCUGGAAGGUUAAGAGGAGUGGUUAGCUUCUGCGAAGCUACGAAUCGAAGCCCCAGUAAACGGCGGCCGUAACUAUAACGGUCCUAAGGUAGCGAAAUUC